UACGUAGGGGGCUAGCGUUGUCCGGAAUCAUUGGGCGUAAAGAGCGUGUAGGCGGCUUGGUAAGUCCGCUUGUGAAAGUCCAGGGCUCAACCCUGGAAAGCCAGUGGAAACUGUCAAGCUAGAGUCCGGAAGAGGCGAGUGGAACGUCCUGGUGUAGCGGUGAAAUGCGCAGAUAAUCAGGAAGAACACCAAUGGCGAAGGCAGCGAUCGCUGGGACGGUGACUGACGCUGAGACGCGAAAGCGUGGGGAGCAAACAGGA
rnacentral:rRNA from 1 species